rnacentral:rRNA from 1 species
GACGAACGCUGGCGGCGUGCUUAACACAUGCAAGUCGAACGAAGAGCGAUGGAAGCUUGCUUCUAUCAAUCUUAGUGGCGAACGGGUGAGUAACGCGUAAUCAACCUGCCCUUCAGAGGGGGACAACAGUUGGAAACGACUGCUAAUACCGCAUACGAUCUAAACUCGGCAUCGAGGAUAGAUGAAAGGUGGCCUCUACAUGUAAGCUAUCACUGAAGGAGGGGAUUGCGUCUGAUUAGCUAGUUGGAGGGGUAACGGCCCACCAAGGCGAUGAUCAGUAGCCGGUCUGAGAGGAUGAACGGCCACAUUGGGACUGAGACACGGCCCAGACUCCUACGGGAGGCAGCAGUGGGGAAUCUUCCGCAAUGGACGAAAGUCUGACGGAGCAACGCCGUGUGAGUGAUGACGGCCUUCGGGUUGUAAAGCUCUGUUAAUCGGGACGAAAGGCCUUCUUGCGAAUAGUGAGAAGGAUUGACGGUACCGGAAGAGAAAGCCACGGCUAACUACGUG